rnacentral:rRNA from 1 species
GGAGUUUGGGCCGUGUCUCAGUCCCAAUGUGGCCGGUCACCCUCUCAGGUCGGCUACUGAUCGUCGGUUUGGUGGGCCGUUACCCCGCCAACUGCCUAAUCAGACGCGGGGCCAUCCCAUUCCACCGGAGUUUUUCACACUGUACCAUGCGGUACCGUGCGCUUAUGCGGUAUUAACAGUCGUUUCCAACUGGUAUCCCCCGGAAUGGGGCAGGUUCCCCACGCGUUACUCACCCGUCCGCCACUAAACUAAAGGAAUCACUCCGAAAAGAUCUUCCAGUAGUCCCGUUCGACUUGCAUGUGUUAGGCACGCCGCCAGCGCUCAUC